rnacentral:rRNA from 2 species
AGACCCGAAACCCGGUGAUCUAGCCAUGGGCAGGUUGAAGGUUGGGUAACACUAACUGGAGGACCGAACCGACUAAUGUUGAAAAAUUAGCGGAUGACCUGUGGCUGGGGGUGAAAGGCCAAUCAAACCGGGAGAUAGCUGGUUCUCCCCGAAAGCUAUUUAGGUAGCGCCUCGUGAAUUCAUCUCCGGGGGUAGAGCACUGUUUCGGCUAGGGGGCCAUCCCGGCUUACCAACCCGAUGCAAACUGCGAAUACCGGAGAAUGUUAUCACGGGAGACACACGGCGGGUGCUAACGUCCGUCGUGAAGAGGGAAACAACCCAGACCGCCAGCUAAGGUCCCAAAGUCAUGGUUAAGUGGGAAACGAUGUGGGAAGGCCCAGACAGCCAGGAUGUUGGCUUAGAAGCAGCCAUCAUUUAAAGAAAGCGUAAUAGCUCACUGGUCGAGUCGGCCUGCGCGGAAGAUGUAACGGGGCUAAACCAUGCACCGAAGCUGCGGCAGCGACGCUUAUGCGUUGUUGGGUAGGGGAGCGUUCUGUAAGCCUGCGAAGGUGGCCUGUGAGGGUUGCUGGAGGUAUCAGAAGUGCGAAUGCUGACAUAAGUAACGAUAAAGCGGGUGAAAAGCCCGCUCGCCGGAAGACCAAGGGUUCCUGUCCAACGUUAAUCGGGGCAGGGUGAGUCGACCCCUAAGGCGAGGCCGAAAGGCGUAGUCGAUGGGAAACGGGUUAAUAUUCCCGUACUUGGUGUUACUGCGAAGGGGGGACGGAGAAGGCUAUGUUGGCCGGGCGACGGUUGUCCCGGUUUAAGCGUGUAGGCUGGUUUUCCAGGCAAAUCCGGAAAAUCAAGGCUGAGGCGUGAUGACGAGGCACUACGGUGCUGAAGCAACAAAUGCCCUGCUUCCAGGAAAAGCCUCUAAGCAUCAGGUAACAUCAAAUCGUACCCCAAACCGACACAGGUGGUCAGGUAGAGAAUACCAAGGCGCUUGAGAGAACUCGGGUGAAGGAACUAGGCAAAAUGGUGCCGUAACUUCGGGAGAAGGCACGCUGACACGUAGGUGAAGUGAUUUACUCACGGAGCUGAAGUCAGUCGAAGAUACCAGCUGGCUGCAACUGUUUAUUAAAAACACAGCACUGUGCAAACACGAAAGUGGACGUAUACGGUGUGACGCCUGCCCGGUGCCGGAAGGUUAAUUGAUGGGGUCAGCGCAAGCGAAGCUCCUGAUCGAAGCCCCGGUAAACGGCGGCCGUAACUAUAACGGUCCUAAGGUAGCGAAAUUCCUUGUCGGGUAAGUUCCGACCUGCACGAAUGGCGUAAUGAUGGCCAGGCUGUCUCCACCCGAGACUCAGUGAAAUUGAACUCGCUGUGAAGAUGCAGUGUACCCGCGGCAAGACGGAAAGACCCCGUGAACCUUUACUAUAGCUUGACACUGAACAUUGAGCCUUGAUGUGUAGGAUAGGUGGGAGGCUUUGAAGUGUGGACGCCAGUCUGCAUGGAGCCGACCUUGAAAUACCACCCUUUAAUGUUUGAUGUUCUAACGUGGACCCGUUACCCGGGUUGCGGACAGUGUCUGGUGGGUAGUUUGACUGGGGCGGUCUCCUCCUAAAGAGUAACGGAGGAGCACGAAGGUUGGCUAAUCCUGGUCGGACAUCAGGAGGUUAGUGCAAUGGCAUAAGCCAGCUUGACUGCGAGCGUGACGGCGCGAGCAGGUGCGAAAGCAGGUCAUAGUGAUCCGGUGGUUCUGAAUGGAAGGGCCAUCGCUCAACGGAUAAAAGGUACUCCGGGGAUAACAGGCUGAUACCGCCCAAGAGUUCAUAUCGACGGCGGUGUUUGGCACCUCGAUGUCGGCUCAUCACAUCCUGGGGCUGAAGUAGGUCCCAAGGGUAUGGCUGUUCGCCAUUUAAAGUGGUACGCGAGCUGGGUUUAGAACGUCGUGAGACAGUUCGGUCCCUAUCUGCCGUGGGCGCUGGAGAACUGAGGGGGGCUGCUCCUAGUACGAGAGGACCGGAGUGGACGCAUCACUGGUGUUCGGGUUGUCAUGCCAAUGGCACUGCCCGGUAGCUAAAUGCGGAAGAGAUAAGUGCUGAAAGCAUCUAAGCACGAAACUUGCCCCGAG